GGAAUGGGCUGUUUGGGAUGAAAG
rnacentral:miRNA from 1 species